rnacentral:rRNA from 1 species
UAACGAUAAAGCGGGUGAAAAGCCCGCUCGCCGGAAGACCAAGGGUUCCUGUCCAACGUUAAUCGGGGCAGGGUGAGUCGACCCCUAAGGCGAGGCCGAAAGGCGUAGUCGAUGGGAAACAGGUUAAGCUUUGCGCACCAGGGGCGGUGAAUACGCACGCCAGUUAAUCCAGACGCCUUACGGCAGCGCAUGGAUGUAUGUAUAUCAACGUCCUGUUGAUGGGUUAACUCUGAUUGAAAGCGGUGACUGGUUAG